rnacentral:rRNA from 1 species
ACAUACGACCAUAGGAAGCUUGGACCACUGAAACCCGUUAGAUCUUCUUUAGUUAAACAGUUUACCGGCGGGUUAGUAGUUAGGUGGGUGACCACUAGCGAAUCCCCGCUGUCGUAUGUU